CUUUAAUGCAUGAUUGGACUCUAUUACGCCAAUAUUUAUAAAUAUCUGAAUUUUUCCCGCUUUCGUGUAGGGCUUUUUGGCGUCUCUCAAUAGCAGACUUUAUUGAUGACGUCAUCCAAGGCUUAUCACACUUUCGUACUUUAAUCCGUUCCAAGGGAAAGAAUUUUUCAAUCAUCACAGUCAUUGUAUCGUUAAACUUUUUAUAUUUUGUAUCACAGUCAUGUAUGUCCAAGAUAGGAGACCAGUCAAAUGUAGUGAUAUAUCGUCAAUGCAUGUUCUCAAAGAAAGAUAUGUAGAGAAAUGUGCAAAAGACAUUUGUGGAUCUGGAAUUGUGCACGUUAGUAGUUUCAUUUUGCUCAAAACACAAUAUUUUUUCAAAAAUAAUUACAGGAUAGGUUUACUAAAGCAAAAUCCUCGCUAAAAACGUCAAUAAAUAUCGGGCUGUUGUCAUUUUGCUGUUACUCGUAAUGAGCGUCAAGAUAGCGCCAUAUUGAAGUAAAGGUGGUAUAUUGUGAUUGUCAUAUCUUCUUAACGAGUUCCGUGACCCCGACUUUUUUGUGUGAUUUUACUUUAAAUAUGUCAUAAACUCCAUGCCUGGGAAGUUUCAGCACAAUCUCAUUUCGGGAACAAGUACUGCUGAAUUACCUUAAAAGAGGCCUAUAAAAAACAACCUUUUCUUGUGCAAAGGCAUGAGUGAGGGGGGAGGGGGGGUGGAGGAGGGUUGUCGGAAUUGAAUUUCCGCUAAUGGAUGGCAUAAAUAAUCUAGCCUAGCGUUUGAAUAGGAUAAUAAGGUGUACCUGUCCCCGAAGUAACUGCAUGUCCGGGAUGCACUGGAGGAACUAUGGAUCUGACAUGAAAUUAUUUUCAAAGUUUUAGUUAGGUCAUCAGCCUUUUUGUGUAAAUGGAUGGCAAUGGAACACUGAUAACUAAUUUAACUAUCUAUAAAAAGUUGCACAAAAUUCUGAUGCUUUGCCCAAAACGUUUAUGUCUUUAUUUUUGCAUUCGAGAGGUUAUUGCAUUCGUCAUAUUUUCAAAAAAUAUUGGUCUAUGGGGGAGGGGGG